rnacentral:rRNA from 1 species
UACAGAGGGUGCAAGCGUUAAUCGGAAUUACUGGGCGUAAAGCGAGCGUAGUCGGUUAUUUAAGUCGGAUGUGAAAUCCCCGGGCUCAACCUGGGAAUUGCAUUCGAUACUGGAUAGCUAGAGUUCGGCAGAGGGAAGCGGAAUUUCUGGUGUAGCGGUGAAAUGCGUAGAUAUCAGAAGGAACAUCAGUGGCGAAAGCGGCUUCCUGGACCAGAACUGACGACCAGGCUCGAAAGCGUGGGGAGCAAACAGG